UAUUGCACAAUGGGGGAAACCCUGAUGCAGCGACGCCGCGUGAGUGAAGAAGUAUUUCGGUAUGUAAAGCUCUAUCAGCAGGGAAGAAAAUGACGGUACCUGAUUAAGAAGCCCCGGCUAACUACGUGCCAGCAGCCGCGGUAAUACGUAGGGGGCAAGCGUUAUCCGGAUUUACUGGGUGUAAAGGGAGCGUAGACGGUGAGACAAGUCUGAAGUGAAAGCCCGGGGCUCAACCCCGGGACUGCUUUGGAAACUGCCUGACUGGAGUGCUGGAGAGGCAAGCGGAAUUCCUAGUGUAGCGGUGAAAUGCGUAGAUAUUAGGAGGAACACCAGUGGCGAAGGCGGCCUACUGGACGGUGACUGACGCUGAGGCUCGAAAGCGUGGGGAGCAAACAG
rnacentral:rRNA from 1 species